CAGGGAGACAUCACUGAUUUUGAUGCCUGAAUAAUUUAUUUUUAGGCCAUAAUCCUGUCACCUUAGGUCGAUCGGUACCUCAGUUCUAUAUUUCAAAAACUAAUAAAUUGUGUUUUGGAAAUAUUAAAUUCAGUUCCUAAACUUUGUCUAGGUCACACCCAACAAGGGUCCCUGGGCCAUUAGCUCAGGUGGUUAGAGCGCACCCCUGAUAAGGGUGAGGUCCCUGGUUCAAGUCCAGGAUGGCCCAUUCGGUGUUGGGGGUAUAGCUCAGUUGGUAGAGCGCCUGCUUUGCAAGCAGGAUGUCAGCGGUUCGAGUCCGCUUACCUCCACUGAUCUAACUCCUGAUAACGAAGCCUAAGGAGAACCUGUUAUAUGUGAUCUAGAAUUUGUUCUUUAUGAAAGAACCUAGCUUCUUGUCAUUCCUGCAAAACUUAUUUUUGUAUGGCUGAUAGGACGCUGGGCUCCCUGCAAUAGAAGUUGCAGAGAAGUUCAGUAGAACCUUGAAAACUGCAUAGGUGAGUCUGGAAAGAAUAAAGCAUCUCAUGGAUGCAUUAUUCUUUUGAGUCAAUAUCUAGCCUUCUGAAUAACUCAGGAACGUUAGAUCGGCUUGAAAUUAUAAUGUUUAAUUCUUGAGCAAGAGCUGAGACUCUAUAACGCUCUUUUAUUGUUUUAUCAAUGAGAGUCAGAUUUUUAAUUUACUCUUUUGCUUUGUUUUUAGUUUUUCUAAACUGAAUGCAAAACAAAUAUAAAUUAAAGAGAAAAGUGUUAACAACACAGGCGUUCUAGAGAUUAAU
rnacentral:tRNA from 1 species